UCUUUGUUUUGAAUUAUGCACCUGAUUGAUCAUAAAAGAAGCUUGGGUCCAGUGAAAUGCAAAAUAACUAAGGAAACACCUCUCAAACUCCUCUACCAGUUUUAUGUAGAGAGACUUUGCGUCUGGUAGGCUUGAAAAGUACUCAUAGAUGUUUUGAUUGCACCCUUUUGAUUUCUUGAGAUAGUCAUAAGCUAAUUUGCAGAACCGGGGACACUCAUCUGGGUCUGGAAAUCCCAUUUGCCUAGCUGCAUACCAGACGGUUAUGUGUAUUUGACAAAUUAAGUAAGCUUCUUCAGGCUAAGGUAGUUGUGGUUUUAUCUUUAUCUUUAUCUUUAUCUUUACCUACGUAAUGGGCGAACCUUUCAAUCUUUCCGACACGGCCGGACCCGGUUCUCACCAGGCGUGGAGCAAAACUCAGAUCGUUCUCCGGGUUAAUCUUCCGCCGGCGGUAAUGGAUGGCUGCCUUGACCGUCAAUCCCAGAGAUGAAGCCAAAAGGAGUGUGAGAAUAACUUUGCCGUGAACAUCUGCAACAAGUAAAGAAGUUAAGGUCACUAUCAGUGGUUUAAGAUCAGAUGGACUAAAAGAGAAAGAGAGAGAAAGAGCUGGAGAGGUCGGAUUACCUAGCUGCUGCAUCUUGAAAAGGAUUCUAAGGGGAGGAUAUUGAAGGAAGGCAUGAGGCUUUGGUUUCAUUUAUAGCCCAACAUUACUUUUUGGUCUCUCAAGGGGCCUUGAUUCACCUAGCACACAAAGAAGCGAGGAUUUUUUAUAAGAGCACGGCAGUUUUUAAAAAUAAUACCUAAAUUAUCGUGGUAAAAAAAAAAAUUCCAAAUUUACGUAGUUUUGUCCAGCGAAAAGAGAGAAGAAAUUUAUAAAUGAGAAAUCGUCUCUUCAACAGGUGAUUUUCACCAAAAAAAAAAAGAGAAGAGAAAUCGUCUCUUGAAAAGACGAUUUUCACCAAAAAAAAAAGAGUGAGAAAUCGUCUCUUGAAGAGACGAUUUCCACAAAAAAAAAUAAAAUUAAUUCUCACUUUAAAAUUAAAAUAAAAAAUAAAAACAUUUAAGUGGGAAAUCGUCUCUUAAAAAGACAUUUCCAAAAAAUUAAAAAAAAAUAAAUUAAAUUCUCACUUUAAAAUUAAAAAAAAAAAAACAUCUAAGUGGGAAAUCUCCUCUUAAAGAGAAGAUUUCCAUAAAAAUAAAUAAAUAAAUAAAUAAAUUCUCACUUUAAAAUUAAAAAAAAAAACCUUGUGGGAAAUCAUCUCUUUAAGAGACGAUUUCCGGCAAAAGUGAGAAAUUCUCACUUUAAAAUUAAAAAAAAACAAAAAAAAAACCAUGUGGGAAAUCGUCACUUCAAAAGAUGAUUUCUCACAAAAGUCAUCCUCCCCCCAACAAAGCCAAAAGUGAGAAGUUCUCACUUAAAAAACCAAAAACAAAACUUUUAAAUUUUUUUUUUCUAUUUAUACAAUAAUUCGAUUAUUAUAAAUAUAUAUUAUAAAAUUAAUUAUUUUUAUUUACUAAAUUUAAUUUAUAAAUAAUAUACUAAAUUUAAUAUAAGAUAAAUAAUAUUUAUAUAUUGUUUUUUUCUUUCACUUUGGACUUAAAAAAAAAACUAUUAUCAAUUUUAUGUGAAAAUUGAGUUUAAAAAAAUUGUUAUUAAUUUAUUAAAUAAAAAAUAAAAAAACAAAAGCGUCAAAAACGAUUUUAAAAAAAAAAAAACUUUAAAAAUCCAUUUUUCUAUUUCAUAUUAUACUUAUACAAUAAUACAAUUAUUAAAAAUAUAUAUUGUAAAAUUAAUUAAAUUUAGUAUACUAUUUAUAAAUUAAAUUUAAUAAAUAAAAUUAAUUAAUUUUAUAAUAUAUAUUUUUAAUAAUUGUAUUAUUGUAUAAGUAUAAUAUGAAAUAGAAAAAUGGACUUUUAAUUUUUUUUUUAAAAAUCGUUUUUGACGUUUUUGUUUUUUUAUUUAAUAAAUUAAUAACAAUUUUUUUAAACUCAAUUUUCACAUAAAAUUUAUAAUAGUUUUCUUUUUUAAUUCCAAUGAAAGAAAAAAACAAUAUAUAAAUAUUAUUUAUCUUAUAUUAAAUUUAAUAAAUAAAAUUAAUUAAUUUUAUAAUAUAUAUUUAUAAUAAUCGAAUUAUUGUAUAAAUAGAAUAAAGAACAGAUUUUUUUUUUUUUAAAUGUUCUGUUUUUUUUUUAAGCGAGAAUUUUUCACUUUUAGCUUUUGUUGGGGAGGGUGAAAGAGAUGAUUUUUUUUUUUUAUAUUAAAUAGCAUAUUAUUUAUCUUAUAUUAAAUUUAGUAUAUUAUUUAUAAAUUAAAUUUAGUAAAUAAAAAUAAUUAAUUUUAUAAUAUAUAUUUAUAAUAAUCGAAUUAUUGUAUAAAUAGAAUAAAUGAUGGAAAAGAAAAAGGAUUUUUAAAGGUUUUGUUUUUGGUUUUUUAAGUGAGAAUUUCUCACUUUUUGCUUUGUUGGGGGAGGGUGACUUUUGUGAAGAGACGAUUUACCACAGGAUUUUUCUUCUAUUUUUUAUUUUUUAUAAUUUUAAAGUGAGAAUUUCUCACUUUGGUGAAUUUUGUGAAGAGACGAUUUCCCACAUAAGUUUCUUUUUUUAAAAAAAUUUUAAAGUAAGAAUUUUUUUUUUUUUUUUUAAGAGACGAUUUCCACACUUAUCUAUAAAAAAACUUAUCUAACCUCGGGGGAAAAAAGGUCUCCUUAAAUCACCUAAAGAAAUUUAUCAAAAGAAAUAUGAGGAAAGAUGAUUAUCCCACCAAUUAAGGUUUCAACAAACAUCACCCAUGGAAAAGAAAAGUCUGACCAUAAAUAUCAACCACCAUCCUCUCCUUUUUACUCUAUCCACCAGACUUCAAUUUGAAAAGAAAAUGGGGACCUACACCCCCACACUUUAAUUAUGUGGUUGAGUAUAGUAAGGCCAGAAUCCGAUUCUUAGCUCAUGAUGUCAUAUCUCACAUUAUUACUCUUGAUUCAAACUUAGGAACGGUUUUUUCGUAUAUUAGUUUUAGGAUAAGGUUGGGAUAAACAUAAAUGGAUUUAAUACAAGUUUGAGAAAUUUGUUAGGACUCAGGUAUAAUUUUAUUUUUAUUCACCUUUAAUAGGAUGAAGUUAGGAUAAAUAUAAACAGAUUUAGAAUAGGUUUUAGUAUUCUUUUAACUUGCUCCAAUUAUAUAUAAUAUUAAAUAAAAAUUUAUUUUUAAAUUUUUAUUUUUUUAAUAUGUAUAAUAUUAAUUUAGUUAUAAAUUAUAUUUAUUUUAAUAAAACUUAAUAUUUUAAAAGUAAAUUUAAAAAAUAUAUAUAUAAAAAUUGAAAGAAAAUUAAAAUAAUUAAAUGAGACACAACAUCACAUAUAUGAGAAUUUUUUAUACUUAUCUCGUUUUUUAUUUAAUUUUUAACGAAUAUAAAAAUUGACUUUAAUAAACAAGAUAGGAUUCCAAUAACGUAGGUCCCAAAACGUUGCAAACCCAAACCAUAUUCAAAGUUCAGAUCAUCACACCCAUAAGCCAUGUGAUAAAGAAUCAUCCAACCCAUAUUUUAUAUAUCAAAUCAGCUUUUUCUUUAUUAAGUGGACCAACCAUGUAAUUAUUCCAACUUUAUUUUUGACCUUUUCAAUAUUUCAUAACUUAUAUCAUAUUCUUUAGCUUUGGUUGCUUCUCAUUUAAAACAGCAAUUAAAUUUAAUUUUUUUUGUUAAUUAUUUACCGCGAGGAGAAAAUUGGGUAUUUUCUUGAAAAAAAAAGUACUAAAUUUCAAGAAAAUCAAAUAUAAUUUUGACCAAACGAUGAGAGAAAGGAAAAGGUUUUAUUCUCAAAUUUUUAAAAAUAGUUUUUAACUAUAAAAAAGUCAAAUCAUUUGAUUUAUUAAGAGGAUUGUACAUUGUAAAUAGUGAAGAUAAAUUUGUAAAGUUCUUUAAUUAUUAUUUAUUGUCAAAUCAUAAAGAAAGAAUUGUACGACUAAAUCGAAAAAAUCAAUCAACUAGGAUCUGUUUGGAUGGUAGCAAUUCGAUGCGGACAAGGAUAUAAUCACAUGACGAACAAGGAUUUGAAAAAUGUUGCCAGGAAUAAAAGGAAAUCGAAAGAAAGACAUGGGAAUUUGGGCUUAAGUGCACCAACGCACCCGAUAGUGAUGACAGUCUAUGUAGAAUGUCUACUACGUAGUUCAAGUCAUCUUAUACGAAUGAUAGUCAUGUAAAUAAUAUAAAUUCAAAUUCUAUAUCAUUAUUAAACUAUAUUUUUAUUUAUAAACUAUAGGAUAAAUAUAAAAUAAAUGGAUGAUGAUUGUUUCAAUAAUUAAUGUCAUGAUAAAUUUUAUGCAUAAUUAAAAAAAUAUAAAUUAUUUUUUUUAAAAGAUAAUAUUUUUAGUAAAUAAAAUAAAAUAAUAAAUAGGACUAUUUUAAUACAUUUAUAAGUCAUGUUUGUUAUUUAAAUAUAAAUAAUAAUAUUUUCAUAUAUGUUAAAUACUAAAGAUAUUUUAUUUUAAUUUAUUACAAACUAAGUAAUAUUUUUAAAAUCGUACUCAUUAUUGAAUCGAAAAAGUUAUCGAUUCACAGUUCAAUGAUGGGACCGACACUCGAACGGACACUCAAACGGUGGUCGAACCGAUGACAUCAUAAAAUAUAUAAUUUAUAUAUUAUUAAAAUAAUAAUAAUAAUAAUAAUAAUAAUAAUAAUUUAUAUAUUAUUUUAAAAUUAACAUUUUAUUUGAAAAAUCAGAAAAUUAAUUUCAAAUUAAAAUUUUGAAUUAAAACCGGAAUUUUAAUUUUAAUUUUGAAAUUUUAAAAUUUAUUUUUAAAUCAAAAACUUAUUUUAUAAUCAUAAAUUUAUUUAAAAUUAUAAUAUUUUCAUUCAUUUAAAUUAAAAUCACUAGUUUUAAAAAUCAUGAAGUAAAAAAAAUAAUAAAUAUAAAAUAAAAUAAAUAAUAAUGUUGAUGGAGUAAAAAAAAAUUGGAAAAGGCGGCCAAAAAGGUGGGAAAAUCUCGUAUCUUCCUUAAGAAGGAAGGGUUUUGGGGGCAUCGAAAAAGGGGAAAAAUCUGGUGGGGAAGGGUGAGGAAGAAUGAAGGGUUUUGGCACCAAAAAAGGAAAAAAAAUUGGGUGGGGGCACUGCGAGGGGCUAGGAAGAAGGAUGGGUUGUAGGGAGUGGCGGCGCUGAGGUGGGUUGAAUUGGAUGGGGGAGGAGAACUGUUCAGUUCACCCCCGAAAUUGACCGGGUCAUCCGGUUCACUGGUUUGAUCAUCGGUUCCGACAAUCCGACGCUGGUUCAAAGGCUCCCAACUCAAAUGGCCAAACCAAUCGGUUUAAUCUGAUUUUUAAAACAAUGAAAAUAAAUAUAAUUCUUUUAAAAAAUAAAAAUAACUAUUUUUUUUCGUUACAUGUAUAAAUAAGUCCUCAAUUACUAUCGUGAUAUUUUGACUGGUUUUGUUUAAAUUCUCUAAAUUAUUGGUAUAACUUUUUAAUUUUGAAUUAUUUUUAAAAAUUAUUAAUGAAUCAAAUAUGUUAAGCUUUAUAUGAUUUUAAGUUUGUUUGCCUCCUUGAAAACUAGAAGAAAUAUUAUUGUAUGUUGAGGAAAAAUUGAUAUAAUCAUUUUGAAUUAAUUUUGAUUCGAGAAAUUUUAGUAUUAAUUGGUUCAAAUUUUGAGUUUUAAAUAUUUUUAAAAAUUAUUACACAUUUUAAAAAUUCAAUACAUUAAAUCUUAUUUCAUUUAGAGUCCUUUUACCUAAUAAGAAAAUUUAAGAAAUUUUACGAACUCAUUGGACGAAUUACAUUUUUUCCGAUAGAAUAAAUAGUACAUGUCUAAAAAUGGGGUGACACAGGCUUAAAUAAGGGUUGAUAUAUGUGUAAAUAAAGAGUAGCACACUUCCAUACAUUUUCUUAAAUUUUCUCAAAAUUUUUCACCAAAAUUUCAUGCACCAAAAUUGGUUUCGAAGAAAAACUAAUACAAUUAUUCUUGAAUAGUUUUGUUCCAAGAUAUUCAGUGUUAAUAGGCUUAGUUUUCUGUAGACCCCCAUUUGGGUGUCAUUUUCUACAGCCAUUUUUGCCAAGUGUCGCAAUCCCAUAGGGCCACGUGUCGCCUUGUGGUUGGUGGUCAUAGAAGCAGAUGGUGGAAUGGAGGAGCAAGUGAGAGUUUGACACGUGGCAUGGAGAUAUUUUGGCCGUUAGGAGGAGCGUAUAUUUUCUGUUAGAGGGGAUUUUUGCAGGGCAGGUCGGCUGGCCAGAGGGAGGGUGCUUUUCAGAAGCUGCUGCAGGGUAGUGAGGGAAGAGGAGCUUUUGUUCGGUUAGAGGGGCUUCAGAGAGGAAAGGAAAAAGGAAGGGAGAGAAGGAGGAGAGAAAGAAACAGAGCAUGUUUCUGGAGAGGGGGUGCUGAUUUUGCAAGGAGCAAGCUAAAGGAGAGAGGUUUUUCAGGGAGUCUCGGCAAGAGCUAUUGAGGAGAAGCAGCAUAUAUACUUACCAUCAUUUUCCUAGUUCCGGUAUGAUUUCAACUUGCUUUACACUUCCUACCUCGAACUGUUUUCCUCAGCUUCUUGUUAUGUAUGGUUCCUCUUGAUGCUUGAAGACCAUUUGUGCAUCUUCCUGUUCUGGAAUGUUUUGAGUAUAGAUCCAUCGCUGUUUUUAGUUCACUUUAUUUUAUUUUUAUUUCUUUUGAGAUCAUGCCCAUGUUUCCUUUUGGUUCCACCUAUACCCCUCUCAUUGACGUUUAUGGAGUGGGUUGAGACUUAACAGUUUUCUUGUUAUAUCUAUGCAUGCUCUGUUUUCUUUUCAUCUUUUUCGUUUAGUUUUUUUUGGGGAUGUUGAGUAUCACAUUUGUACUGGUCAUCUGGGUUGAGAUGUUUCUGGAAAAGCUCAGGUUCGUUCCAUAGAUGCAGCUGCAUGAGAAAUUAAGCAAUGGAUUCUUAUGGAAGCAAUAAGCUACAGCCCAGUGUUGCUUAGUACCCAGAGUAAAUGUCUCUCGCGUUUAUUUAUCAUUGGGAGUCCUUGGGAGAGAUUGCUCCUAGAUGUCACAAGAGGAUCCCAGUUCUACGCCUCUGUGGAAGGAAACCUUAAAUGUGAUAAUAUGGUUCGUAUCUGAAACUAAGUAUGGGAAAUGAUUGUUUCUAUAAUCGUAUAUAAAUUGGGCGCCAAAGGAUGAUAUCCAGACCAUCGCCUGGUUAGUAAGUGACCUUCACAGGAUUUAAAGAUUAAACAAGCUUUGCCAGAUGGGGGAAUAUUUCAAGAUCAGAAGCAAUUUUCGAUGGAUGAAGGUGAUAUCGUGAAAGGUUCCUCAUGAAAAUAUCUUCAAAAAUCAUAGAUCCCAGAAGUCAAACGGGAAGAAUUCUGGAUCCUGUACGCUUGAGACUGUCCCUGGAAGAAAGUGGAAUGUGGAUGGAGGGCAUGAAAUACCAUGAUGCAUUCCCGUUCUCAAUCAUGGGCCCACAUGCAUAAUUGCAAUUUGCGUGGCCGUUUUCCCUCCCACUGCUUUUUCAACCAUCCUAUAUCCUCCCAUGUACACAUAGCCCAUGCACACAACCCCUAUGAUCCUUCUCAGGCCUCCUUAUAAGAUUCAUACCACCACCUGUCCCAUUAAUCUCAUACCCAUUGAUCAUCUCUCUAUACUCACAUCAAACCCCACAUUCCAUACCCCACCAUACUCGUCCUUCAUAACCCAUUUCUAGACCCAUUAAUACCCUCACAUGUCAACCACUGCCCUUCACUCACUAUCCCACAUGCACGCCCAUUAUUUCCCCACGUCAUCACCUUUCCAUCAUGCUUCGUGUCAAUACCCUUCAUACCCCUAUCCCACUACCCAUUCCAUUAAUUCCAUGUCCAUACCCGUCUUCGUAUUCCUGUCACCACCAUCCUACAUCUACAUUCUUCACGCUGGUCAAGUUCAUUACUUCCCCAUCCCUCGUGCUCACUGAAGUUGUCAUUAAACCCAUUGUUCUCUUCCACCUCCUUCAUUCUUGAACUCUCUCUAUCUCCUUUUGCUAUGAAGACGGAGCUACCGAGGGAACAGAUCAGAAUGUUAAUGGCAGAUGCCUCGGAAAAAUCAGCGCAUGCUAGCGCAAGCAGUUCCUCUUUGCAGUCGUCGUCAACGCCCUUCUCUAUGGUCAUCACCAACACAGAGAUGAAACAUGAUGGCGUGAGAGUGAUCAAUCUCAACCAUGGAGACCUGACAACGCAUGAGAGGUUUUUGGUUACUAAAGUGUACUGUGUUCUGCGUGCUGUGAAGUUUCUUGGAAAUCCUGAUGAUGGUGGAAGUAUAGUUCGGGGUUUACGGAUUUCUACCAUGUUCACUCAUCACCUGAGGAUUGUUGUGGUGGGCCGCGAGAUGCUCAGUGGAGUUUCAGGAAUGGAGGAUCCCUGGAAGAGCAAAACUCGGUCUCUAUAGUUUCGGUUCCGAGACUGCUUCCGAAUCACCGUCAAUCGUCAUUGCCGCCAUUGCUACUCAUUGCAAGAAUAUGACGGGGCUUGACAUACAGGAGAAUGGCAUUGAUGACCUUGGUGGGGGUUGGUUAAGUUGCUUUCCCGAAAACUUCACGUCACUAGAAGUGCCGAAUUUUGUGAAUCUGAGCAGUGAUGUCUCUUUUGAUGCUUUUGAGAAACUAGUGAGUAGGUGCAGAUCUUUAAAAUUCUUGAAGGUUAACAAGAAUAUCACCCUGGAACAAUUACAGAGGUUGCUUGAGUGUGCUCCUCAACUGACAGAGCUUGGUACUGGGUCCUUCCAUCAAGAGCUCACAACCCACCAGUAUGCAGAGCUUGAAAGUGCAUUCAACAACUGCAAGAAUCUAAAUACUCUCUCUGGUUUGUGGGAAGCUACUCCACUGUAUCUCUCAGUUCUAUACCCUGCCUGCAUGAAUUUGACGUUCUUGAAUUUGAGUGAUGUUGCUCUGCAAAGUGGUGAACUUGCUAAGCUUCUUGCCCACUGUCCAAAUCUACAGCGCCUUUGGGUUCUGGAUACAGUAGAAGACAAAGGGCUGGAAGCUGUUGGAUCUAGCUGUCCUUUGCUCGAGGAACUACGUGUCUUCCCUGCUGAUCCAUAUGAGCAGGAUGUUGUCUAUGGGGUGAUUGAGAUGGGUAAUGACGUCUUUUCUAUGUUACGCUCCAUGCUCACGGACAUGCUCGUGCCGAGACUAAAAGGUUGCUUCGAGAUCAGCAAGCAAAACGACAUGAAAUAAAUGAUUUGAUGAAGCAAGUUGAAGAUAAACUGCUUAGGAAAAGCAGUGAGGAAUAGGACCGAGUCAAUUCUGCAGUUCAGUCUAUUUGAUGCACCAUCCAGACUCACUGAGUCACGUGACCAGUUAGAAAAGCACCUGGAAUUCCCAAUGGCUCCACUCGGAACUUGGACUUGUUGGUAUGGGACCUGCAGGCAGUGUCUAUCAGAAGCCUUAGCAUGCACAAGUCAACUGGGUCCUAUCCCUACCAGGCCAUGCAUUGGCCAUCUUUAGUAUGGGCCACCUUUGGGCCACGUGACAUUCUUGGUUUUCUUUUUAUUUGAUUUUGAAAAAGGUUUUCUCAAACCCCAUUUUGUAAAUAUCUUUCUCAAAAUUCUGAUUUUCAAGUAAUUCCAAUUUUCUCAUCUUUCAUCCUUAGAAUUUUCAGGAUCACCUAAGAGUCUCAAUUUCAAUAAAAUUUGGCCGCCAUUUUCUUUUCGGCGAGCAGCUUUCGAAUUUUUCAUGAUUUUAAAAUGAUUUAAAAUAAGCUAGAAUAAAAUUCCGUAAUUCCAAGCAGGGGAAUUUAUGGAAUUAAUUCAUGCAAAAAUGAAUUGGGUCUUGGUGGGGGCCCUACAUAUGAGAUUCCAUGAUUGAUUGAUUUAUUUGUCAUGCAUGAUUGAUUUACUCUAUUCCUUGAUAUGUGCUUAAUUAUAUAUGUUCAUUGUUCACUAACCAUGUUUCAUGAUAGCGCAUUUGUGAUUGCCGCCCAAGUACGCAUCUAUUCAUAUUUUGUUCAUUCUUUAUACAUGCUUUGUUUCUCAUAUGUGCAUGAUUGAUUCGAGUAUUUAUUGAUUUUCUCAUUGAUUGCCAUGUCAGCUUCAUCUCAUUAGUAGAGACCCGAUUUUAGGGACUUAGAGGGGUGCCACGGUUUUUACCGUACCUUCCCGAUAAGUAACCUGACCCCCGAACCCGAUUCGGUUUUUCACAUACCACCUUUUCCAAAACAAGGAGUCACACUUAGGGUUUUUCUUUCUUAUUUUGUUUACCCUUUAAAAAUAAAACAAAAAUAAGUGGCGACUCCAAGUCAUUUUCAAAUAAUCAAUAAAAAUCAUUUUUCAAAUAAAAAACGAGUUUCGCCAUCGAGUGGGAAAUGCAUUCGAGCAAUCGAAAAUGCGGGGUCCACAUUUUCAUAUUCUGAAUAAUUUUUGAAAAUUAAUGUACAUGUGAAAGAAAUGUGUUAAGUCUCACUUCAGUUGGAGUUUAUUUAUCUCGUGAUUUUUUUAUUUUUUAUUUUGAAAAAAUUAACCUAGAUAUUGAAAAGAAAAAAUUUAAAACUUUUAUGGGGAUUUCAUAUAUAAAAAAUAUUGAAGCUUCUUAAAUUAUAUGUAUUUCAGUCUUGUGCUUAAAUAUAAAAUAGUCAAAUUAAGAUAGGCUUGAAGCCAUCAAAGAUAUCACAAUCAAUUUGUCAACCAUCUUAUAGUUACCCAAAAAUAAUUAUUAAGUAUGGAAACGUGGUACCAUUGGAUCUUAAUAAUUGUGGCCAUGGCCCAAUAUUGGAACACGACUUUGAAAGUUGAAAAUGAGGAGUUAUGAAUUGUUAUCCAAAUCCCUCUCUUUUUAUAAAUUCUCCAAGCUAAUUAUGUGAAACAAAAAUUAAUUUAAUUUUAAUAUUUUUCAUCAUGAAAUUAUUAUUAAUAUAUCUUAUAUUAUUAAAAAAAUUAUUUUUUGGAAAUUAUAUUUUCUUAAAGAGGAGAAAAAAAAAAAAAUAGAAAGAAGAGAAAAGUAAAAUAUAAAUUUUAACAUAUUUUUUUUAAAGAAAUUUAUAUGAAGAUUUAUCUUUCACUUUCUCGUACUUUAAUUUUUUUUUAUUAAACAAUUAAAAAAAUUUAAACUUAAGUUAGUUUGCUCUUUCCUUUUCUAAUUUUUUUUUCCCAUUAUUUCAAGAUUCUAGUAAACCAAGCUUAAAAAUUGACAUUAUAAUUAUUUUCUAAUUUAAAAAAGUGAAAAUAUCACACCAAUCUAUUUGGGGUUAUUAGAGUAUGAUAUUAGUUUUGUUAAAUUCAUGUGCUAUCCACUAAGAUCUUUGAAAAACAAAAAUUUAGAAAAAUACACUUCAUUCAAAGUUUUUAAAAGACCAAACACACACACAAUCCUAUUUUUCAAGUCUCUAUAUUUAACAUUAGCUAAUUAGAUUUUUUUUUUCUAGAAAUAUUUCAUUUGUUUAUUUUUAAAUGUUUUUUCAGAAUAAAAAGCUGAUCCAACGCCAAUAAGAAUCAAACUUAGGGGUGGACAAUUGGUGUGGGAGGUGGCAUAUGGAUGGUGCUCCACUUCCUCCUUCGCUGUGAGUUAGUGGCCAACAUGUUUUCUCAUUGCCUUAGAAAGCUUUAAACAUUGUCACCCUGCACUUGGAGCCCAUUUGGUUUAAUACUUUAAAAUUUUUAUUAUUUAAGUAUUAAAAAUUCUAAAAACACUUUUUAUAAUCACUAACAAUUUGUAUAUGUGGAGAUAACAACGAAACAGGAUUAGGAUAAAGACGUUUAUUCAAAAUAAUUCUCAUCCAUGAUCUAUUUAAAAAAUUAAACGGGAUGGGGCGGGUAUGAGAAAUUCUCAUACCAGCCCCACCCCAUUCAAUUUUUUUAUUUUUUAUUUUUAUAAAAAUUACUUUUAAAUUUUUAAUUAUAUUAAAAGAAAUAUAUUUUAUAAAUAAUUAAAUUAUUAUAUUUUUUAUAACUUAUUUUAUUAAAAAAUAUUUUAUUAUUAUCUAUAUAUUAAAAAUAGUAAAAUAAAAUUUAAUUUAAAAUUUUAAUUUGAUAUAUAAUCAGGGUGGGAUAGGAUUCUUGUGUACUGUGGCGUAUCAUUAAGGGAUUUUCAAGAAUAAGAUAUCUUUUGAAGGAAGUUGUAAAAAAUACAUUUGAAUCAUAAUUCAAAUAUAACGGUUUGAAAACUUGACUGGAAAAAUCCUAUCGAGGGUGGAAGGAACUAUCAUAAAAUUUAGAGUUUCCAUUUUAUCUUCUCUUUUCUAUUUAUUUUAUAAGCAAUUAUUUUAUUAUUAUUAUUUUCUAUAUAAUUGGUUAAAUUGUCUCUUGUGUUUAUCAAAGUUUAUAUAUAUAUUAAAAUUUAUUAAAAAAAGAAUAACAAAGUGAUUAAUAGGCUAAUAGCCAAUUCACCCCCUCUGUGCUGAUGGUUUUUAGGGUUAUGGUUGACAAAAAUGAAUUUGGGAAUUAGGCCGUGUUUGUUUAUUCUGUAUUUUGUUUUUAUUUUCAACGAAAAUAGAAAAUAAGUUGAAGAAUAUACUUGAAUACUUAUUUUUCUAUUUUUAUUGUUUAGAAAAUUAUGUUCAAAAUUUGGUGUUUUCAUUUUUUUAAGAGAGAUGAAUAAAAUAAUUUAAAAUAUAUAAAAGGGAUAUGAAUAUUUACCAAUAAUAUCAUAAUAUUUUUAUUUUCUUUCUAAUUUUUACUAAUAAUUUUAUAUUUUUAUAUUAGAAAGUAAUUUAAUUUAAUAAAUCAAAAUUUGUACAAUUGGUCAAUUCCUUACUUAAUUAUAGAUGAAUUAAAAUUUUCUAUUACACUACUAAAAGUUAUCUAUUUCGCCAUAUAUUAGGAAUAAUCACAUAAUUAAAUUAAAAUCCACAUUGGCUACUUUAUCUUAUAAUUUAAACAUUUUUAAUUCAAUAAAAAUAAGCUGAUUCACUUCAACCCUUUUAAACACCUGACACCUGACUUGCUAUAAUUCAAACAUUUUUAGAUUUAUUUGUAACAUUUCGGUUGAAUGAACAAUAACCUUGAAUUUAUAAUGGAGAAUAAGUAAUUUAAUAUUUAAAAUUAAUUUUAAUUUCGUAUUUUUAUUUGUGCCUAAAACACCUUCAUACAAUUACCUAGAUUACUUAAAAUGACUAAUUUUAUUGACAUCCAUUGAUUUUUGAACAUAUAUAUAUAUAUAUAACCACUAUUAAUUUAAAAUUUUGUUAAAUAAUUUUUCUAUCGGUUUCAUUUUUUAUUAUUUUUACUCAAAAUAAUAAAGAUAUUUGAUAAAAUUUCAAAGCAACGAUUUUAGAUGAACUUGAAGGAAGGUGAGUCAAAUUGAACCAUUAAUUAAAAAGAAUCAGAUGAGAGUAAAAAUUGAAUUUCUUUAUAAAACAAAUGAAAAAUUUAGUGUAAAUUCAUACAUAAAUUGAAAGUGUUCAAAAUGAAAAUACAUUGACAUAAGUAGUAUAGUGAAACCCCAAAACCAAAAACAAAUCAAAAUCGCACAGGACAGCUCCCAUGGAGGCCAAAGCCAAGGCUACACCGCGGCCAAAACUUCGACUGUAACGUCGGCGAGAACGAAAGUGGAGGGACCGUCGAAGUCUGCGAAGAAUGCUCCUGUUAAGGCUGUGAAGAAAGCUCCUGUUAACGCUUCGAAGAAGCCAAAGAGCAUAAGACCGCCGGUGAACAAGGCCAAGAAGUGAGGGAUCGAUGCGUUUGGCAGGUGGGUUUCUGUAAACUUGUGGAUAAACUAGGGUUUGUUAACGCAUCUUCCGUCAUCAAACAAGAAACUAGAAGAAUUUUAGUGCAACGCGCAAAAUAGAUGGAGUGAAAUUGGAUUAUCUAUAGCUAUAAUUCAGGGGUGAGUGAUGGAUAUUAAUAGAAAAGAUUACAGGGCAUGUUUAUGGACAAGGUUUUGGACGUUGAUGGGAGUGCAAAAGCUUGUCCCAUUGAAGAUUUCCCUUGCUGCAAACCUGUUUACUGCAUCGGUGUGGUGAGCUCCAUCCCAAAAUACAUGGCCGUUUCUGUCCUGGCACGGGGUUUUAUUUGGAAUGCAAGUUCCAGUUUUAUCGCUUAUAACGCAACAUGGAUUUCUUGAAUCAUUGAACCCUGUAUCAAAAAAUAAGCAACAAAAUGAAAUGAUUAUCUCCAUUACUUUUCAUGAAAGGCCAAUCUAAAGAAUUUGAUCAAUGUCUGAGAUCCACCAUUGCGAGAAGGAUUUUCCACAAGGCCAUGCACUAAGUUGAAGGUUUUCACAAGAACAAAGGUGGAGUGUUGGAGUGAGGAAGUGAGCUGAUUGAUGUUAGAAGCAAGCUUUGCAUUGAAGAUGGAUACUAAAUCAUUUGGUUUCUCUACGCAUUGGGUCUUUGUUCCAGCAUUUUCUAGUGCAGCAGUUGGUAGACAACCAAUGGGACCGAUCUCAAACACUACAAAAUUCCUGCCACCCAGACGGUACAUCUCCUGAAAAUCUCAGCAAAUGCAUUAUAGUUUUUUAGAUAUCAACCUUUUUUUUUUUUUUUUUUUUUUUACAAUUAUAUGUCUAAACCGGAAGAUGGCUUUAGAUUACCCGCAAAUGAUUUCCCAAUUCGUUCAGGAGGAGUUCAGCAAAUUGCUCAGGAUUGUAUAAGCGACUGCUGUUGGAGAAUUGAGGCAGAAGAUAAUUCAUUGCAUAGUCAUUACUGCCAAUGAGAACCAAGAAAAUAGAGCUUGACAAGUGACGUGAGAUUGCUUCUGGGGUUUUCAGGUGCUGAGGAAGGAUUGUAUCCACGGUUUUUCUGAACAACCUCACCUGCUCUGUCAGGUUCAAGUUGGAGCCCUGCAUGGAUUUUCAUUCACAAUUUUGCAGGUAGGAAAUUUGAAAACACAAACAAGGUUGAAAGCAAAUGCUGUGUUACCACAAUGGUGCCUGUCUCAGGAAGGAUGCCAGCUGAGGCUGAUGCAUAGUUAUAUCCUCUGGGGCUUUUUCCGGUAGCUGCCAUUGGCCCCAAGAAUGGAGGUGGUUGAUUUAUAUUGAGAAAUUGAGCUGCAUUUCAAAUNNNNNNNNNNNNNNNNNNNNNNNNNNNNNNNNNNNNNNNNNNNNNNNNNNNNNNNNNNNNNNNNNNNNNNNNNNNNNNNNNNNNNNNNNNNNNNNNNNNNUUCAAACUCCAUUACAUGAUUUUGCUGUCAGUGAAAGAAAACCAUAUCAAGGCAUUUUCAAAACAGAGGAAUUAACCAGCUCGCAGCUGAUCAUAACCAUGGCCAAAAUCAGAAAGUUGGUUUGAUGAGCUAGGCCAUGGUCGUAUUACUUCCCUUGGUACUACCAUUUACUUUCAAGUUUUCGAUUUUCUGAAUAGAUGUUCUGAGCUCCAGUUGAAGGCUCACUCUGGAAGGUGACAGAACAAUGUCUUUCCAAACCGAACCCUCUUCAUGUACGAGGUUUGGCUGCUUGUAAAGCUCAUAGAUGUUCUCUGCAUCUUCAUUUGAAGUGCUGAUUACUGUCAAACAUUUGAUUGCUUCAGGAUCAACCAGUAGCUUGUUGCCUCCCUCUUUCCAUGCUAUCAACUGCAUUUAUCAUACUAAUCAAGUUAGUAGACCACACUACAGACAAUCACGAAUUCAAGCACUGGUAGAUAUGUAUUAAAACCGAAAGUAUGAGAUCAAGCAUUACCGCGGGUGGCCUGCCCAUGGCAUUGGAGCAAUAUAGCCUGACAUUAUCGACAAGUUGGCAGUAACUCUGAAAGUUGCUUGCAAAUCUCUUGUGGGAUUUCACUUGCUCAUUCACCCUCACUGCUCUUCUUGUCUCUAUGGCUCUCCUGUUUUAAGUAGAAAAGAUACAAGCCUAUUAGUUGACAUUAUUACUUUUUCAAUAUUACCUACACAACCCUGUUCCUCUUAACAUAAAAAUGUUGAAAGAAAUUUUACCUGAUGCCUCUGACAACUGCUAGAAAAGGAUCACAGACCACUCCAACCAACUCUAUUCUGUAUGGUUUCCUUGCUACUUGUCCAUUUUCUUUUUGUUGCUCCUCUUCUUCUUCAAGUGGUACCUCUUCCCAAUAAUUUUCAGUGACAGUUCCAUCCUCCGCCACGUCGUAGCCAACCCCCAUUCGAUAACGGCGUUUAUGAACAUUCCUAGCCAUGGCAAUUGUUUGCUGGACAAAGGGCUCCCAUGAUAAGGUGCCAUCCAUGACUACAUCACGGCCUUCAUUCAGUGCAGCCACAAGGAGUGAUGAUGCUGCAUUAGUAGACGAUUGGUGCACCUAUUUUUGAGUAAAUUUGUCAAUGUUUCAGAAUAUUGUGAUCUAGACAAAAAGUACAUAUGACUGCAUAGGUAAAAAAUUUGUAGGCACUGGGCUCUUUUAUAUAAGAAUGUGUGUGAAUUAAUUAAAGAGAGUACCAGCUCAGCAGUUUGAAGCAUGUCAUGGUGAUGAGAGCUAAGGGCUCUGUAAACGACAUCGGUCUCUUUGAAAGCAUCUGCCUCCACUACCACACAGUUUGCUUCUGCUCCUGACCAGAAUGCGCUGCCAAUCAUACAUCCAAUAUAAGCUCAGGGAUCAUUAUUGUAAAACUGAGAAUAUAAUAAAAGAGUGGAAGUGAGAGUACUCUUUCAUAAUCUCCUUGAGGACGGUGCUCUUGCCGGCACCCGCCCCACCACCCAUGAGGAGGAGCACAGGGCUCCUCUCACUGAGGGCCACCGGCAUCAUCACCUCUGUGCAACCACUAGAUGGCGCCACCCCUAUGGCUUUCAUCUCCUCCAACAGUGUAUGGAACACCCUCGUCACUUUCAAGUCCCUUGUCACCUUCUCAAACCUCUGUUUCCUGUCGACAACCCAUACAAAGAAAGAUGAGAACAAUAAUUAUGUAUGGAAACAGUAGAGUGGGUAGGAGAGGUGUAUAAAUGACUCUUAAUUUUGCAAUUAUUGACAUCGAUAGAUUUGUCCACCUAACAAUCAGAUGAGUUGUGACAUGACCUGGGCUAUUUUUUUAAUUCUUUUAUAAUAUUAAUAAAGAAUAUUUGAAAUAUGAUUCACAAGUAUUUGUCAAUGUCAGAAAAUUUGUAAGAAAGCAAAUUAUUUAACUAAAAAUAACUUGUGUGGAUGUCAAUAAUUGAAAGUGCUUUCAUAAAAAAAAUAUAAAAUUUGAAAACACUUUUGAAAAUCAAAAAAUCGUUUUCUAUUUUUUGUUUCAAAAAACAAAAUAUAGUGUUUUUGGUUUUUAAAAAUAGAAAACAAAAUAUUUUUAUAUAUUAUCUUUUAAUUAUUUUUAUUUAAUUAUUAUAUAUAAAAUAAUUAAAAAUAAAACAUCCCAUAUAAAUUAUAUUUUUAAAGUAUAUUUUAAAAUAUUAAAAACAGAUUAAAAGCAUUCCCAAAUCAACCUCAAGGUUUCAAAAAUUGUCAAUUAUUUUUAAAAACAAUUUUUUAAUUUUUAGAAAAAAAACAAAAUGAAAGAUUUUUUUUUAUAUAAAUAUAAAAUAGAAAAACAUGAUGUUUUAGAGAAAUUUUUUAAAAUUUAUUUUUACUUGUUUUUUUGAAAUUUAUUUUAAAAAUAAUUACGAAUAAUUAAAAAAAAAAAGUAGCACAUCUAAAACUGUCGUCUAAAAGUGUUUUGGAAAUUAAAAUGCUGCUCAGACUGAGUGUAAGGGAUUCACCAUAAAGGGGAGGACUAAACAAGGAAUAAAGGAUGCCCUCGAGAAGAUGCUUUAGCUAAAAGAUAGAAAAGGAUAAAUGCAAUGGUCAUCAUGGUCCUCGCAUAUAAUAUCUACGUGUCAUCUUCUUCAAGAGGCGAAGACCAGCAACCCAUCUUUAAAGAAGACAAAUUGAAUUGAACUAGCUGGUUGAUUAGAACCUUUACCUUGUAGCUGCCAUCACAAGGUCCUUGAUCUUCGUCUUCUGCUCAUCAGACUCUACACUCAGCACCUGCAACUCACCCCCCAAAACAACAACAACAAUCACUGCUCAGAAUCCAUAAGAGGAAGCCCAGAAAAAAUAAAAUAAAAUUUGAUGCUCUGUCUGUCUUUGUUUUGAAUUAUGCACCUGAUUGAUCAUAAAAGAAGCUUGGCUCCAGUGAAAUGCAAAAUAACUAAGGAUACACCUCUCAAACUCCUCUACCAGUUUCAUGUAGAGAGACUUUGCGUCUGUUAGGCUUGAAAAGUACUCAUAGAUGUUUUGAUCGCACCCUUUUGAUUUCUUGAGAUAAUCAUAAGCUAAUUUGCAGAACCGGGGACACUCAUCUGGGUCUGGAAAUCCCAUUUGCCUAGCUGCAUACCAGACGGUUAUGUGUAUUUGACAAAUUAAGUAAGCUUCUUCAGGCUAAGGUAGUUGUGGUUUUAUCUUUAUCUUUAUCUUUACCUACGUAAUGGGCGAACCUUUCAAUCUUUCCGACACGGCCGGACCCGGUUCUCACCAGGCGUGGAGCAAAACUCAGAUCGUUCUCCGGGUUAAUCUUCCGCCGGCGGUAAUGGAUGGCUGCCUUGACCAUGAAUCCCAGAGAUGAAGCCAAAAGGAGUGUGAGAAUAACUUUGCCG
rnacentral:lncRNA from 1 species